GUUGUGGGAUGUAAUAAUGAACAUAGUAGUUUUCACUUACUUCCGACAUCAGAGCCACUGAAAACGCAGUGGAUGGAUUUUAUUUACGAAGGAAAGGCGCCACUCAAAAUUCCAAAAUACGUUUAUGUUUGCGCGAAUCAUUUUUUGACUGACUGUUUUCAGAACGAAGGUCAAUUCAAAGCAGGUCUUGCUUCAAAGUUAAUCCUCAAGUGUGGAUCGUUGCCUACUGUUCGCGAUCCAGCGUCACCUCCAGAAGAAGCCAGCACAUCGACACGAAGCUGUAGAACGAGGGAUAUUGGCGUGCAGACAGAAACAUCAAAGCUAUGCAGUGUUGGUACACAACUGUCAAUGAGGACGCUUCAAACACACCACAGGAGUAUCAGUGUCCAGACAGAGACAACAUUGUCAAGUUUUGAUGUAAGCACAAAAUUAGUUUCUCAUACAGCUGUUGCGUCUUCCACGCCCCUCAAGACUUCAUCAAAGAGACCUUGUC